CUGUCCCGGAGGCUUGGCAGAGCAGGAGCCCUCCGUGGCAGUGCUUGGAUGGCGAGGCUCUGAGGCUCUGGUCUCACCUCUCCAAGGGAUCGAACGGAAAGUCUCCGGAUGCCAGGAGUCGCAAAGGGCCGACCAUGAUGAUGAAACCCCAGGCGGAGACUGGGGAAGCAGCAAGGGAUCGCAGCCUCAGGCCUGCACGGACGCUGUUGGUUGGGGAUCAAACGAAAACACUGCAGACAAGGAGAGGAAUCCCACAGGUUCUCUUUGUCCUAUAGGAGAGCAGCAGACCCACGUCAGAGAAGAUGCUUGAGUCUUUUCACGGCUCUUCUCUGAGAAAUGAAGCCACACCAUGAUACAGUCAGCAAGAGGAAGCCGGGAUUGAGAGAUGGCAACAAUCCCUGUCCCUGGAACGCUGGCCUCCCUGGACAAGCCACCCUUUUGGAACACCACCCCUUAUGCCCAUUGCGGUGACACGGUGCUGUAUCCUGCCUGGGCUCCGGCCUCUGCUCUGUCUUCCGUCUUGCUCUGCCUCCCUUGUUUCUCAGGGGCCUGGAUCCCUCUCGCUCUGACCAAAUGCCUUCAACAAAGAUGACUUCCCUCUCCGUCAGGGAGACA
rnacentral:lncRNA from 1 species